CUUUCUCUAAUUGAUCUUUCUCUAAUUGAUUAUUGACUGAAGAAGAAAGCUCCAAACUGUAAUGUAAUCACUUGUAACAAAAAGUUGAAAACCUAAGAAGAUAAAUGUCAAAAUUAGAGAUUGAGCAGAAAUUAUUCUUAGAUCUAAUACUUAUAUCCAUAAUUGAUUGAAUAGAAACAUGAAGAAUUAAUAAAAAAUCAAUUACCUUUUCGACGAUGAAAGUAGUCAGUGAUGUUGUUUUGUGAAGAGGAAAGAGAGAGAAGAAUAAGAGGAAGAAGAUUAUGAUGAAGAGAAGAGAGAUAUGGAGAGAGAUGAAGAGGAGAAGGAAGGAGAAGAAGAGAUCGAUGAACCUUCAACCCUUCUCCAUGAUUUCUUCUUUUUUUUUCUUUUUUUCG
rnacentral:lncRNA from 1 species